GACGAACCGAGCGAACGUUGUUCGGAAUCACUGGGCUUAAAGGGCGCGUAGGCGGGCUGUCAAGUCUGGGGUGAAAUCCCGCGGCUUAACCGUGGAACUGCCUCAGAUACUGAUGGCCUCGAGGGAGAUAGGGGCGAGCGGAACUAAUGGUGGAGCGGUGAAAUGCGUUGAUAUCAUUAGGAACUCCGGUGGCGAAGGCGGCUCGCUGGGUCUCUUCUGACGCUGAGGAACGAAAGCUAGGGGAGCAAACGGG
rnacentral:rRNA from 1 species